rfam:Marine metagenome ctg_1101668629032, whole genome shotgun sequence.
CCUAGGGCUUACGCCCUAGGCUAAUAAAGUUCGCCCCUUCAGGGCU